rnacentral:rRNA from 1 species
GCGGCAUGCCUUACACAUGCAAGUCGAACGGCAGCGGGGGUAGCUUGCUACCUGCCGGCGAGUGGCGAACGGGUGAGUAAUACAUCGGAACGUGCCCUGUAGUGGGGGAUAACUAGUCGAAAGACUAGCUAAUACCGCAUACGACCUGAGGGUGAAAGUGGGGGACCGCAAGGCCUCAUGCUAUAGGAGCGGCCGAUGUCUGAUUAGCUAGUUGGUGGGGUAAAGGCCCACCAAGGCGACGAUCAGUAGCUGGUCUGAGAGGACGAUCAGCCACACUGGGACUGAGACACGGCCCAAACUCCUACGGGAGGCAGCAGUGGGGAAUUUUGGACAAUGGGGGCAACCCUGAUCCAGCAAUGCCGCGUGUGUGAAGAAGGCCUUCGGGUUGUAAAGCACUUUUGUCCGGAAAGAAAUCCCACUGGUUAAUACCUGGUGUGUAUGACGGUACCGGAAGAAUAAGGACCGGCUAACUACGUGCCAGCAGCCGCGGUAAUACGUAGGGUCCAAGCGUUAAUCGGAAUUACUGGGCGUAAAGCGUGCGCAGGCGGUUGUGCAAGACCGAUGUGAAAUCCCCGGGCUUAACCUGGGAAUUGCAUUGGUGACUGCACGGCUAGAGUGUGUCAGAAGGAGGUAGAAUUCCACGUGUAGCAGUGAAAUGCGUAGAGAUGUGGAGGAAUACCGAUGGCGAAGGCAGCCUCCUGGGAUAACACUGACGCUCAUGCACGAAAGCGUGGGGAGCAAACAGGAUUAGAUACCCUGGUAGUCCACGCCCUAAACGAUGUCAACUAGUUGUUGGGGAUUCAUUUCCUUAGUAACGUAGCUAACGCGUGAAGUUGACCGCCUGGGGAGUACGGUCGCAAGAUUAAAACUCAAAGGAAUUGACGGGGACCCGCACAAGCGGUGGAUGAUGUGGAUUAAUUCGAUGCAACGCGAAAAACCUUACCUACCCUUGACAUGCCACUAACGAAGCAGAGAUGCAUUAGGUGCUCGAAAGAGAAAGUGGACACAGGUGCUGCAUGGCUGUCGUCAGCUCGUGUCGUGAGAUGUUGGGUUAAGUCCCGCAACGAGCGCAACCCUUGUCUCUAGUUGCUACGAAAGGGCACUCUAGAGAGACUGCCGGUGACAAACCGGAGGAAGGUGGGGAUGACGUCAAGUCCUCAUGGCCCUUAUGGGUAGGGCUUCACACGUCAUACAAUGGUGCAUACAGAGGGUUGCCAAGCCGCGAGGUGGAGCUAAUCCCAGAAAAUGCAUCGUAGUCCGGAUCGUAGUCUGCAACUCGACUACGUGAAGCUGGAAUCGCUAGUAAUCGCGGAUCAGCAUGCCGCGGUGAAUACGUUCCCGGGUCUUGUACACACCGCCCGUCACACCAUGGGAGUGGGCUUUACCAGAAGUAGUUAGCCUAACCGCAAGGAGGGCGAUUACCACGGCGGC